UACACACCGCCCGUCACAUCACGUAAGCCCGUUGUACUAGAAGCCGGUAAUUCAACCCGCAAGGGAGAUAGCCGUCCAAGGUAUGACUGGUGAUUGGGGUG
rnacentral:rRNA from 1 species